CGUUUGAUGAGCAGAUCUAGGGUUUCAUGAGAUCUAUCACAAGCUUUAUCUGGCAACUUGAUGUCGAAGGCACCAAGGGAUCCACAGAUUUGAACAAGGGAUCCACAGAUUUGCUGGAGAAUGGCCGGAAUCAGGUGACUGUCUGUCCAUGAAUCUCUCUGGAAUCAUGUUUCAGAUGAAGGUAUGAAGGAGUGUGAUCGAGAUUGGGUACCUAACUGAUGUUAAACAUCAUGCUCAUAUUGGUUGGGAUAUAUAGUUUUGUCAUUUCUUUUGUUUUUUUAUGCUUUUUGUUUUUGUU